rnacentral:lncRNA from 1 species
AGGGAAAGUGGGGUGGUGUGAUGGGGCUCCCCUGGGCCAUGCGAUGGGGCUGGAGGCUCCCUUGCUCCCCCCUCAAGGACACCCCCUUCCCCCCCCCCGCAGCUGCGACAGCUCUUCGCCCAUCCGCAAGGAGAAGAAAAAGAAGACUGGAAAGAAACACAGACGCGACAGGUCUGAGUCGGGGUCACGGAAGAAGAGAAGACACAGGUGAGAGUGACGGCUGCCGGGAGUCACCCCACUGCCACCAGCACUGGCUGCAAGCUUCCCCCGUCGGGGACCCCCUGUCCCCUGCCCUCCCUCUGUCCCCAUCCCCUCUGCCCAUGGGGAAGGACCCACUGGGCACAGUGGGUACGACCUGCCCCCUGGGGGGCUGCCCCACUCCCACCUCUGCAGCCCGUGGCUCUUCCCGCAGGUCCCGAAGCCCCAAGAACAAACGGAAAGAGAAAAACAAAGAGCGCAAGAGGUGA